AGAACGAACGCUGGCGGCAUGCCUAACACAUGCAAGUCGAACGAGACCUUCGGGUCUAGUGGCGCACGGGUGCGUAACGCGUGGGAAUCUACCCUUGGGUUCGGAAUAACAGUUGGAAACGACUGCUAAUACCGGAUGAUGUCGCAAGACCAAAGAUUUAUCGCCCAAGGAUGAGCCCGCGUAGGAUAGCUAGUUGGUGAGGUAAGCUCACCGAAGGCGACGAUCCGUUAACUGGUAUGAGAGAUGAUCAGCCACACGUGGGACUGAGACACCGGCCCAGACCUCCUACGGGAGCAGC
rnacentral:rRNA from 1 species